GCCCGGUUAGCUCAAUCGGUAGAGCGUGAGACUCUUAAUCUCAAGGUUGCGGGUUCGACCCCCG
rnacentral:tRNA from 1 species